rnacentral:rRNA from 1 species
GCGGAGGAAAAGAAACUAACAAGGAUUCCCCUAGUAACUGCGAGUGAAGCGGGAACAGCUCAAGCUUAAAAUCUGCAGGUAUUUUCAUAUCUGUCGAGUUGUAGCUUAUAGAUGCAGUCAUCGACUCUGCGACAUAGUAAAAGUUCUUUUGAAUAAGACAUCAGAGAGGGUGAAAAUCCCGUAUUUGACUAUGUUACUAAGCAGGGAAAUGUGAACUGUUUUCUUUGAGUCGGGUUGUUUGGGAAUGCAGCCCUAAUUAGGAGGUAAAUUUCUUCUAAAGCUAAAUAUAAGCAAGAGACCGAUAGCAAACAAGUACCGUGAGGGAAAGAUGAAAAGCACUUUGAAAAGAGAGUGAAAAGUACGUGAAAUUGUUGUAAGGGAACCGGUUAGUAGCCAAGCAUCACAUUUAUGGGAUAGUUUACGCUAUUCUUGAUUGUGGGGUCAACAUCAGUUGCUAUUACUGCCUGAAAGGAAAAGAUGUAGGUGAGCGAGGGAAAGGUAGGGCGAUUGUUAGCUAGCAAAUUUAUUUGUUAGCACUAAACGGCAAUCGCUUGUUAUAGACCCUCAUGAAUCUGCUUUUAAGCCUAGAGGUGGUGGCGACUGAGGAACGCAGUGUGGUUAGUUUUUACUAGCCUGGUUAGAUUUAAAAAGGUAUGGUUAAUUUAGUUUAUUAGACAGCUUGCUGACUAGUUGACUGCGUUAAUAUACUAUUUUUAUAUUUAAACUAAGAAGCACUUUGGAUGUUGGCGAAAA